ensembl:snoRNA
GUGCAAUUUAGGGCACGUCCGUCCCCCUGGGCCUCUCAUAGUGCCCCACGCCAGAGCAAACUGUGGCCUUGAACUAUUGCCUGGCCUCGGCCCAUAGGCAGCAGGCACUGAAGUAAGUUACCCAGUG